rnacentral:rRNA from 1 species
UACAGAGGUCUUAAGCGUUGUUCGGAUUCAUUGGGCGUAAAGGGUGCGUAGGUGGCGGGGUAAGUCGGAUGUGAAAUCUCAGGGCUCAACCCUGAAACUGCAUUCGAUACUGCCUUGCUCGAGGACUGGAGAGGAGAUUGGAAUUCACGGUGUAGCAGUGAAAUGCGUAGAUAUCGUGAGGAAGACCAGUGGCGAAGGCGGAUCUCUGGACAGUUCCUGACACUGAGGCACGAAGGCCAGGGGAGCAAACGGG